rnacentral:rRNA from 1 species
AUGGAAAACAAAGUUAAGCGACACCUUGAAGUGUCUGACACUUGUCGUGUUUGUGGAAUGGAACGAGAGGACUCUUUCCAUGUCUCCUGCAGGUGUCCAAUGGCUGUUGGAUUAUGGGAGGCGAUGGCGAAGGAUUGGGCGAUGCCGCUGCCGAGGAGUAUCGUGAACAUAGGGCACGAAUGGCUACUACAUCUACUUGACACGUGCGGCGAAGGCGAGCGGCUCCCACUGCUCAUGACGUUGUGGCGUGCUUGGCAUGUCAGGAAUGAGGGGGUGCACUUCAAGCCUGCCACUCCAAUUGAUGCCUCACGGAGAUUCCUAAGAAGCUACAUCAACUCACUAAUGUGCAUCAAGCAACAUCCAUUGGCGGAUGUCGCAAAAGGAAAAAAUGGUGGUCUCCUAUGGCCGAGGCUCUCACAUUCAUGGAAGGCCGCUCCUCCAGGUCGUCCGCCAGAGAGAUGGAAACCACCACCUGAUGGCUGGCUUAAACUAAAUAUUGAUGGCGCCUUUUCUGAGUCAGAAGGGAAUGGAGGUGCAGGCAUGAUUCUUAGAGAUAACAGUGGCCAUAUUGUUUUCUCAUCCUGCCGUCACCUUUUCUCAUGUGUGAGCGCACUGGAAGCUGAAGUAGAAGCUUGCAAAGAGGGCGUUGCACUAGCACUAGAGUGGAGCACUCUACCCUUCAUAUUGGAAACGGACUGCUCCGUUGCUACAGCCAUGAUUGUGCAGCCGGAGGUGAACAAGUCUCCUGUGCCUAAUUUAGUCCAGGAAAUCAAGCAUUUGCUAGCUAGAGGUAGAAGUCACAAGGUAACUGCUAUUAGCCGAGUGCAAAAUAGUGUCAGUCAUAUGCUAGCAAAAAUUGAACGCACUGGCCCUAGAACGGCGGUGUGGUUAAGGUCUGGUCCAGAGGAGAUUGUAAACUUAUGUGCCGCGGAUGAAACUGAUCCGAUUUAA